AGUGUAAGACUCCGUGGGGUGUAUAUAGUGCUUGUUAUUCUCUCAGAUGCGCAUUUCUGAACUGAUAUCGAGGAUCAGGUUAACACUGCGUGGACGAGCGAUAGCGGUGUGUUUCGCCAGGGCCCUUGGCGACCUCGGACGGUGGAGGUGCAGGUGAUGGUGGAGGGAGGGAAGGAGAGGAGACAAAGUGGGAGGAAAUAGACGGUGCUUACUACCUACCUAUUCCUUCUGCAACUUCGGCAUUUGCUCCUAAUCCAACACCUGUUUCUUCCUGUUACACCGUCAGCUUGUAUUAGAUGACAGUGGUCGACAGAGGUGAGGUACUGACAGUGGGUGUGCCAGAUGCUGAGUCAUUGGUGCCACUUCCCUGUCCCAUCUGUCUCUUCGCCACUCCAUUCCUGCCCAUGCACUGUCCUUGCCACCACCACCAGUACUUGUAGUCGCUGCCAGAAAGCAAAACCUUCCCUGUGCCCGUGAGUCAUGGCAGCGUGAGGAGAUGGAGGGGCGGAGUGGGAGUGGCAGAGCGAGUGGGUACCGGGGAGGAUGCCUUUACUACGUGUCUGAUGUUGAAAGUGGCAGUCAAGAAUCCAGCUGAAGGUUCUUAGGAAUUAAUGUGGAUGAUGCAAGAAUUCGUUCUCUUUGCUCAUAGAUUUUUUCUGUCUUAUUCUAGUACUAGUUUAUGUUGUUAUUUGAUUUCCUGUCUGUAACAGCAGGAUGUCGCUUUUUUUGUUACUCAUAGUGA